rnacentral:rRNA from 1 species
UACGAAGGGGGCUAGCGUUGCUCGGAAUCACUGGGCGUAAAGCGCACGUAGGCGGAUCUUUUAAGUCAGGGGUGAAAUCCUGGAGCUCAACUCCAGAACUGCCUCUGAUACUGGGGAUCUUGAGUCCGGAAGAGGUAAGUGGAACUGCGAGUGUAGAGGUGAAAUUCGUAGAUAUUCGCAAGAACACCAGUGGCGAAGGUGGCCAACUGGUCCGGUACUGACGCUGAGGUGCGAAAGCGUGGGGAGCAAACAGGG